rnacentral:rRNA from 1 species
AUGAACGCUAGCGGCAGGCUUAACACAUGCAAGUCGAGGGGUAUAGGUUUUCGGGCCUAGAGACCGGCGCACGGGUGCGUAACGCGUAUGCAAUCUACCUUUCGCAGAGGGAUAGCCCAGAGAAAUUUGGAUUAAUACCUCAUAGUAUAACAUGACCGCAUGGUCGAGUUAUUAAAGUCACAACGGUGAAAGAUGAGCAUGCGUCCCAUUAGCUAGUUGGUAAGGUAACGGCUUACCAAGGCAACGAUGGGUAGGGGUCCUGAGAGUGAGAUCCCCCACACUGGUACUGAGACACGGACCAGACUCCUACGGGAGGCAGCAGUGAGGAAUAUUGGACAAUGGGCGCAAGCCUGAUCCAGCCAUGCCGCGUGCAGGAUGACGGUCCUAUGGAUUGUAAACUGCUUUUGCACAGGAAGAAACAACUCUACGUGUAGAGUCUUGACGGUACUGUGAGAAUAAGGAUCGGCUAACUCCGU